UGUAAUUGUUUUCAUUAUAGGAAGUUCGUGUGAGAUUUGCUGGUUUUGGUCCUGAUGAAGAUGAAUGGGUCAAUGUCGCAACGGCGGUUCGAGAUCGAUCCAUACCUAUGGAAGCUUCAGAAUGCUGGAGAGUUAAUGAAGGAGAUAUUCUUCUCUGUUUUCGGGAGAAAGAUGAAACUGCCUACCACUUUGAUGCACAUGUUGUUUCAAUUGAGAGAACGAGUCAUGAUAUAAGGGGCUGCAGCUGUACCUUCUUGGUACAGUAUGAUCAUGACCAGGUUGAGGAGAACGUUCACCUAAGC